UACUAGUCGGCAGUAACUAGCAAUGCAGAAAUAGAACGAUAUAUUAAAGAAUUAAAGCAAAGCCCAGAGAAAGCAGAAAAAAUUUCACAAAAACAAAUUUUUACUUCCAAGUAUUGCGCAGCUAAAGAAUACUAUUAGCUUAUUCCUAAGUCAUUUAAGUCCUUUAAGUCAUGGCAAUAUCGCUGACCAAGAGUUUAUUUAAAGCCUUUAAGCAGUUCUAAGUAAAAGCAAGCAGAGCAAAAAUAAUAAGGAACAGGAAGUCAUGCAACAAAAUGGGAAUGGCACGCUACUUGAGCAGAAAUUAAGACAAUGUUCACAACGGCUCACUGAGUUCACCGCUGCCUUACAAAUACGCACUCACUUGAAGUCCUUGUAAAGUUUUUGAAUUAUUUCCGCACUUUGCCUCUCCUACGAUUUAGAAUAACUUUGCUUCCUACGGGCUUGUUGAAUUCAUAACUGUUGAAGGGCGAGAAAACAUUUCGAAAAGUGCAAAAGUGCGAAAGUGACUAUAAUUAAAAGUAAGGAUGUGUAAUUAAGAGGGCAACAGGUGUGCUUAGAGUAAAGGGAUAACAUUUUUAAAUGUCACAGUUUCAUUGUCCUCACCGCAAAGCUCACACUAAUCGCAUUGUCUUAUGCAAAUGUUACAAAAUGAACCCAAUUUGGGUGUUAAUGGUGGUAGGCUCAGCCAAAAGACAGCACUGUAAGCGUUUAUACACAGUUGUUAGUACAUACAUAUAGAAGAACAUACUACAUUGCCCAUUUACGUAUGAGCAACAAAUUUCCACAAAUACACGAGACUUUGGCUGAGAUAAUACGGAAUAAUAAAUUUUGCACUAAAACUGGUGAAGAAGCUAAAUUAGUCGCAAAACAAUGGAAUUGUGUAGUUGAAGAAAAUGAUUGCUGAUGUUAUAUACGCUUCGUUCUUUAUUACAACAGAUAACAAAGGACCCACGAUUGUUCGUCAAAUACUCCAAGUUCAUUGUUCCGGAUUUGCCAAAAUAUUUGCCGUCUGUCCUAAUCGGCAUGCAAAGACUUUGUAACAGUCGAAACUAAAGACACACGACACAAAUGGCAACACCACAAAACGUCAUCACUUGUGAUACAUACGAUAAAGCGCUUACAACCAAAAUUAAAAUAUUGUACUAUAUAUCAAUUUAUGUUGGUAUGGCGAAGUGGUAAAACGGUAAAAAAGCAUCAACAAAACAAAAAAAAAUGAGUUCAUAGUAAAUAUUUAAAUAUGUUCUAUAUGCUCAUUUAAGCUCGAUAGUGAAGGGUGAAUGAGGAAAGUAAUGCUCACAGUUUCUCCAGUGAAGCCCUAAGAGAGUUUAUGAAUUCUGCAACUCAACGACAGCACCAGAAAAAAUCAUGUCCAUACGUCCAUAAAUUCAGAUAGAUAUCGAACUUUGCUCAAAUUGCUCAUACGCCUCAGCUUACCCACGGCACAGGACGACCAUCUAAACUUAAAUUGGACUAUUUUGAUAAAUAAAGUAUUGGUUAUUUUCAAUCUAACUAACCACAUACAAUUUUUUUAAAUCAUUCUGUUAAAAGUCUCUUACAUUUUCUCACUUCUAAUAACUUUGCAGGCUGACGAGCCGGAACUUCCCAAGACCUCAAAAGUAGUAGUAGGUGCUUAAGAGCUCGGGAUAAAACAAAACAUUAUGAGCUGUAGGCAUCAAUUAGGAUCCCAUAUUUGAAUGCAAUAGCAUAGAACGCAUUGAGGUGUUCUCCUGGGAGCCUGACAAUUUUACUACUUCCAUGUCCACUGCAGUUUAAACCGG
rnacentral:lncRNA from 1 species